rnacentral:rRNA from 1 species
GUGUCUGGUGGGUAGUUUGACUGGGGCGGUCUCCUCCUAAAGAGUAACGGAGGAGCACGAAGGUUGGCUAAUCCUGGUCGGACAUCAGGAGGUUAGUGCAAUGGCAUAAGCCAGCUUGACUGCGAGCGUGACGGCGCGAGCAGGUGCGAAAGCAGGUCAUAGUGAUCCGGUGGUUCUGAAUGGAAGGGCCAUCGCUCAACGGAUAAAAGGUACUCCGGGGAUAACAGGCUGAUACCGCCCAAGAGUUCAUAUCGACGGCGGUGUUUGGCACCUCGAUGUCGGCUCAUCACAUCCUGGGGCUGAAGUAGGUCCCAAGGGUAUGGCUGUUCGCCAUUUAAAGUGGUACGCGAGCUGGGUUUAGAACGUCGUGAGACAGUUCGGUCCCUAUCUGCCGUGGGCGCUGGAGAACUGAGGGGGGCUGCUCCUAGUACGAGAGGACCGGAGUGGACGCAUCACUGGUGUUCGGGUUGUCAUGCCAAUGGCACUGCCCGGUAGCUAAAUGCGGAAGAGAUAAGUGCUGAAAGCAUCUAAGCACGAAACUUGCCCCGAGAUGAGUUCUCCCUGACCCUUUAAGGGUCCUGAAGGAACGUUGAAGACGACGACGUUGAUAGGCCGGGUGUGUAAGCGCAGCGAUGCGUUGAGCUAACCGGUACUAAUGAACCGUGAGG